UACGGAGAGUGCGAGCGUUGUUCGGAAUCAUUGGGCGUAAAGCGCGUGUAGGCGGCUUGUUAAGUCUGGUGUGAAAGCCCUCGGCUCAACCGAGGACGUGCAUUGGAUACUGGCAGGCUUGAGUACGGGAGGGGGAGGCGGAAUUCCCAGUGUAGAGGUGAAAUUCGUAGAUAUUGGGAGGAACACCCGUGGCGAAGGCGGCUUCCUGGACCGAUACUGACGCUGAGACGCGAAAGCGUGGGGAGCAAACAGG
rnacentral:rRNA from 1 species